GAAGUGCGAUAAGCAAUGCGAAUUGCAGAACCGUGAGUCAUCAGAUUUUUGAACGCAACUGGCGCCGGCUGGCUCUCCAGUCGGCAUGCUUGUUUCAGUGUCUCGUAAACUCCUCACCCAGAUCUUAAUGCGAGAGAUGCCCUUCUCUUGCCAAGCAUGAAAACACUCUGAGCUCUGCAAGCGAUACUUCAGCCAUGCUGUUGGAUUGCACUCAAUGCAGCAGUCACAUUUUUACAAUGUGAACUCAUUGAGAGUCGAGUCAGUGCAGCAAUCACUGUCAGUGCUUAGCCAAAUGACCUUUUUCUGUAUCUGAAAUCAAGCAGGAUAACCCGCUGAACUUAA
rnacentral:misc_RNA from 1 species